AUUUCUGCUUACGUGGAAUUAACGAGUGUUAUGUUUAAAUCCUUUUACAAGGUAUUUACGACGAUUUCAUCCAACGUGGUCUUUACGACGAUUUCUGCUUACGUGUUUAAAUCCCUAAAAUCCGAAACCUCCAAACCUCAAACCCCAAACCUGAAACCCCAAACCCCAGACUUCAAACUCCGAAACCUCCAAACCCCAAACCCCAAACCCCAAACCUGAAACCCCAAACCCCAAACCUCAAACCCCGAAACCUCCAAACCCCAAACCCCAAACCCCAAACCCCAAACCUGAAACCCCA
rnacentral:lncRNA from 1 species